CCCCUGUCAGGAUCACACCUGGAGAGUUUCCAGGACUUUACCGGUCUCGGCUACAGAAGGGAGAGUCAAGCGGAGGCAUACUCAUUCCAUUCCUAGCUUGGACAGUGGCUAGCAAAUGGAAGGCAAUCUGCUACAAGU